rnacentral:ncRNA from 2 species
AUGCCUGGCUCCCUGUAUGCC